AGAGUUCGAUCCUGGCUCAGGUAUAACGCUUGGCGGGCAUGCUUAACAAAUGCAAGUCGAACGGGAAGUGGUAUGUUUCCAGUGGCGAACGGGUGAAGUAACGCGUAAGAACCUGCCCUUGGGAGGGAAAACAACAACUGGAGGAAAACGGUUUGCUAAUACCCGUAGGUGAGGAGCAAAAGGAGAAAUCCGCCAAGGCGGGUGGGGGCUCGCGUUGAUUAGAUAGUUGGUGAGGCAAUAGCUUACCAAGGCGAUGAUCAGUAGCUGGUCCGAGAGGAUGAUCAGCCACACUGGGACGAGGGACACGGCCAGACUCAUAGGGACGCAGCAGUGGGGAAUUUUCCGCAAUGGGCGAAAGCCUGACGGCGCAAUUGCCGAGUUGGAGGUGGAAGGCCUACGGGUCGUCAACUUCUUUUCUCGGAGAAGAAACAAUGACGUCUGUGAGGAAUAAGCAUCGGCUAACUCUGUGCCAGCAGCCGCGGUUUAGACAGAGGAUGGAUGCAAGCGUAUCCGGAAUGAUGGGCCGUUAAGGCGUCUGUAGGUGGCUUUCAAGCCGCCGUCAAAUCCCAGGGCUCAACCCUGGACAGGCGGUGGAUGGAGAAAACUACCAAGCUGGAGUACGGUAGGGGCAGAGGAAUCCCGGUUCGGAGCGGUGAAAGGCAUUGAGAUCGGAGAAAAGAACACCAACGGCGAAGGCAUCUGCUGGGGCCGACACUGACACUGAGAGACGAAAGCUAGGGGAGCAAAUGGGAUUAGAGACCCCAGUAGUCAAGCCGUAACGAUGGAUCUAGGUGAUGUGCGACUCGAACCGUUUGCAGUGCUUUGUUUGUAGCUAAAAGCGGUUAAGUAUCCAGCCGGGGAGGAGAGUACGUCGCCAAGAAUGAAACUCAAAGAAUGACGGGGGCCCCGCACAAGCAGGUGGUGUGGAGCAUGUGGUUAAUUCGAUGCAAAGCGAAGAACUUUACCAGGUUUGACAUGCCGCGAAUCCUCUGAAGAGAGGGGUGCCCUCGGGAACGCGGACACAGGUGGUGCAUGGCUGUCGUCAGCUCGUGCCGUAAGGUGUUGGAGUUUAAAGUCUUCGAACGAGCGCAAAACCAUUAGUGUUUAGUUGCCACUAUGAGUUUGGAACCCUGAACAGACCGCCGGUUGUUAAGCCGGAGGAAGGAGAGGAUGAGGCCAAGUCAAUCAUGCCCCUUAUGCCCUGGGCGACACACGUGCUACAAGGGCGGGACAAAGGGUCGCGAUCUCGCGAGGGUGAGCUAACUCCAAAAACCCGUCCUCAGUUCGGAUGCAGGCUGAAACCGCCUGCAUGGAUAGCAGGAAUCGCUAGUAAAUCCCGGUCAGCCAUUACGGCGGUGAAUCCGUUCCCGGGCCUUGUACACACCGCCAGCGUCACACUAUAGGAGCUGCCGGUUUGAAGUCAUUACCCUUAACCGUAAGGAGGGGAUGCCGAAGGCUAGGCUUGCGACUGGAGUGAAAGUCGUAAAGGUUAGCCGUACUGGAAGGUGCGGCUG
rnacentral:rRNA from 1 species